AGAUCCAGAUUCCAAUCCAGGAUCACAAAUUGCCUAUAUAUGGAGUUCCAUGGAUCGGAUUUUACUACAUAUUUCCAAAUUGCCCUCAAGAAAGAUUUUUCCAAUUUACGCUAUCACCAGCACUGGAUGAGAGAGUGCCAGCCCCCUCCACACCCUUGUCAACACCAGGGACAAGGAACAGGGCAAGUCCUCAACGGGAGACAACAUGGAACAGAGCCUGCAGACAGAGAUCAGAAACCAACUGGUAUUGCUU